UUAAGCGACUAAGCGUACACGGUGGAUGCCCUGGCAGUCAGAGGCGAUGAAGGACGUGCUAAUCUGCGAAAAGCGUCGGUAAGGUGAUAUGAACCGUUAUAACCGGCGAUGUCCGAAUGGGGAAACCCAGUGUGAUUCGUCACACUAUCGUUAACUGAAUACAUAGGUUAACGAGGCGAACCGGGGGAACUGAAACAUCUAAGUACCCCGAGGAAAAGAAAUCAACCGAGAUUCCCCCAGUAGCGGCGAGCGAACGGGGAGCAGCCCAGAGUCUGAAUCAGCUUGUGUGUUAGUGGAACGGUCUGGAAAGUCCGACGGUACAGGGUGAUAGUCCCGUACACCAAAAUGCACAGGUUGUGAACUCGAAGAGUAGGGCGGGACACGUGGUAUCCUGUCUGAAUAUGGGGGGACCAUCCUCCAAGGCUAAAUACUCCUGACUGACCGAUAGUGAACCAGUACCGUGAGGGAAAGGCGAAAAGAACCCCGGCGAGGGGAGUGAAAAAGAACCUGAAACCGUGUACGUACAAGCAGUGGGAGCACCUUCGGGUGUGACUGCGUACCUUUUGUAUAAUGGGUCAGCGACUUAUAUUCUGUAGCAAGGUUAACCGUAUAGGGGAGCCGCAGGGAAACCGAGUCUUAACUGGGCGUUAAGUUGCAGGGUAUAGACCCGAAACCCGGUGAUCUAGCCAUGGGCAGGUUGAAGGUUGGGUAACACUAACUGGAGGACCGAACCGACUAAUGUUGAAAAAUUAGCGGAUGACUUGUGGCUGGGGGUGAAAGGCCAAUCAAACCGGGAGAUAGCUGGUUCUCCCCGAAAGCUAUUUAGGUAGCGCCUCGUGAAUUCAUCUUCGGGGGUAGAGCACUGUUUCGGCUAGGGGGUCAUCCCGACUUACCAACCCGAUGCAAACUACGAAUACCGAAGAAUGUUAUCACGGGAGACACACGGCGGGUGCUAACGUCCGUCGUGAAGAGGGAAACAACCCAGACCGCCAGCUAAGGUCCCAAAGUCAUGGUUAAGUGGGAAACGAUGUGGGAAGGCACAGACAGCCAGGAUGUUGGCUUAGAAGCAGCCAUCAUUUAAAGAAAGCGUAAUAGCUCACUGGUCGAGUCGGCCUGCGCGGAAGAUGUAACGGGGCUAAACCAUGCACCGAAGCUGCGGCAGCGACACUAUGUGUUGUUGGGUAGGGGAGCGUUCUGUAAGCCUGCGAAGGUGUGCUGUGAGGCAUGCUGGAGGUAUCAGAAGUGCGAAUGCUGACAUAAGUAACGAUAAAGCGGGUGAAAAGCCCGCUCGCCGGAAGACCAAGGGUUCCUGUCCAACGUUAAUCGGGGCAGGGUGAGUCGACCCCUAAGGCGAGGCCGAAAGGCGUAGUCGAUGGGAAACAGGUUAAUAUUCCUGUACUUGGUGUUACUGCGAAGGGGGGACGGAGAAGGCUAUGUUAGCCGGGCGACGGUUGUCCCGGUUUAAGCAUGUAGGCUGGUUAUCCAGGCAAAUCCGGAUAAUCAAGGCUGAGGUGUGAUGACGAGGCACUACGGUGCUGAAGUAACAAAUGCCCUGCUUCCAGGAAAAGCCUCUAAGCAUCAGGUAACAUCAAAUCGUACCCCAAACCGACACAGGUGGUCAGGUAGAGAAUACCAAGGCGCUUGAGAGAACUCGGGUGAAGGAACUAGGCAAAAUGGUGCCGUAACUUCGGGAGAAGGCACGCUGGUGUGUAGGUGAAGUCCCUGCGGAUGGAGCUGAGACCAGUCGAAGAUACCAGCUGGCUGCAACUGUUUAUUAAAAACACAGCACUGUGCAAACACGAAAGUGGACGUAUACGGUGUGACGCCUGCCCGGUGCCGGAAGGUUAAUUGAUGGGGUUAUCCGUAAGGAGAAGCUCUUGAUCGAAGCCCCGGUAAACGGCGGCCGUAACUAUAACGGUCCUAAGGUAGCGAAAUUCCUUGUCGGGUAAGUUCCGACCUGCACGAAUGGCGUAAUGAUGGCCAGGCUGUCUCCACCCGAGACUCAGUGAAAUUGAACUCGCUGUGAAGAUGCAGUGUACCCGCGGCAAGACGGAAAGACCCCGUGAACCUUUACUAUAGCUUGACACUGAACAUUGAGCCUUGAUGUGUAGGAUAGGUGGGAGGCUUUGAAGCGUGGACGCCAGUCUGCGUGGAGCCAACCUUGAAAUACCACCCUUUAAUGUUUGAUGUUCUAACGUUGGCCCCUUACCGGGGUUGCGGACAGUGUCUGGUGGGUAGUUUGACUGGGGCGGUCUCCUCCCAAAGCGUAACGGAGGAGCACGAAGGUUAGCUAAUCCUGGUCGGACAUCAGGAGGUUAGUGCAAUGGCAUAAGCUAGCUUGACUGCGAGCGUGACGGCGCGAGCAGGUGCGAAAGCAGGUCAUAGUGAUCCGGUGGUUCUGAAUGGAAGGGCCAUCGCUCAACGGAUAAAAGGUACUCCGGGGAUAACAGGCUGAUACCGCCCAAGAGUUCAUAUCGACGGCGGUGUUUGGCACCUCGAUGUCGGCUCAUCACAUCCUGGGGCUGAAGUAGGUCCCAAGGGUAUGGCUGUUCGCCAUUUAAAGUGGUACGCGAGCUGGGUUUAGAACGUCGUGAGACAGUUCGGUCCCUAUCUGCCGUGGGCGCUGGAGAAUUGAGGGGGGCUGCUCCUAGUACGAGAGGACCGGAGUGGACGCAUCACUGGUGUUCGGGUUGUCAUGCCAAUGGCACUGCCCGGUAGCUAAAUGCGGAAGAGAUAAGUGCUGAAAGCAUCUAAGCACGAAACUUGCCCCGAGAUGAGUUCUCCCUGAGACUUUAAGUCUCCUGAAGGAACGUUAAAGACGAUGACGUUGAUAGGCCGGGUGUGUAAGCGCAGCGAUGCGUUGAGCUAACCGGUACUAAUGAACCGUGAGGCUUAACCUU
rnacentral:rRNA from 1 species